rnacentral:lncRNA from 1 species
GCUAAUCUGGAAUAAUCCGUACUUAUUCCACUGUAGAAGCUAUCAGCAUUAUUAAGAAUAAAGCAUUCAUCCCUAUAACAUCAACGGAAAAACACAAAACAAAUAUCAUGGGAGUGAGCAUACCUUUGUGUUAGUGCUUCUUUGAGUCUUCCCCAACUAGUUGUCCUAUUGAACCUAGACCAUGGGAUCUCCAAUGUUGCUAGGUUAGGUUUCCGCAAGGUGGUGACUCAUUGUGUUGGCUUUAAGCCCAUUCCCCUCGAUGUGAAGAGAACUUGCUCUCUACUCAGGCCUUUUGUCAAGGGAUCAGCUAUAUUUUCCUUUGACUUUAUAUAACUAAUGGAACAGGCCUUUUGUCAAGGGAUCAGAUAUAUUUUCCUUUGACUUUAUAUAACUAAUGGAAAUGAUUCCAUUCUUCAGCAAGUCUCUUAUUGUAAUAUGUCUGCGCCUAAUGUGUCUCGACUUGCCAUUGUAUAUCUGACUUUGUGCUCUAGUAAGAGCAGCCAUACUAUCACAAUGUAUGCCAAUGGCAGUAACAGGUUGAGGCCACAGAGGAAUACCUUCUAGGAAGCUUUUAAGCCAUUCAGCUUCUUCAGCAGCUUUAUCUAAAGCAACAA